CGCGGCCUAUCAGCUUGUUGGUGAGGUAAUGGCUCACCAAGGCGACGACGGGUAGCCGGCCUGAGAGGGCGACUGGCCACACUGGGACUGAGACACGGCCCAGACUCCUACGGGAGGCAGCGAUGGGGAAUAUUGCACAAUGGGCGAAAGCCUGAUGCAGCGACGCCGCGUGAGGGAUGACGGCCUUCGGGUUGUAAACCUCUUUCAGCAGGGAAGAAGCGAAAGUGACGGUACCUGCAGAAGAAGCACCGGCUAACUACGUGCCAGCAGCCGCGGUAAUACGUAGGGUGCGAGCGUUGUCCGGAAUUAUUGGGCGUAAAGAGCUUGUAGGCGGUUUGUCGCGUCUGCUGUGAAGAUCCGGGGCUCAACCCCGGACUUGCAGUGGGUACGGGCAGACUAGAGUGUGGUAGGGGAGACUGGAAUUCCUGGUGUAGCGGUGACAUGCGCAGAUAUCAGGAGGAACUCCGAUGGCGAAGGCAGGUCUCUGGGCCACUACUGACGCUGAGAAGCGAAAGCAUGGGGAGCGAACAGGAUUAGAUACCCUGGUAGUCCAUGCCGUAAACGUUGGGAACUAGGUGUGGGUCUCAUUCCACGAGAUCCGUGCCGCAGCUAACGCAUUAAGUUCCCCGCCUGGGGAGUACGG
rnacentral:rRNA from 1 species